UUUCCGUAGGUGAACCUGCGGAAGGAUCAUUGUCGAAACCUGCCUAGCAGAACGACCCGAGAACGUGUUUCAACGCUUGGAGACGGGGGGCCUCGCGGCUCCUCGCCUCCUCAUCCCGGGAAGGGAAGCCUCGCGUGUCGUGCUUCGGCGCUUCCGCUUGGCCGACCUCUCCGGGCGUACUGAACAUCGGCGUGAAUUGCGCCAAGGAACUUGAAUGAAAGAGCGUCCCCCCGCCGUCCCCGGAGACGGAGACUGCGCGGGUGGUUCGUCGUCUUCAAUAUGUCUAAACGACUCUCGGCAACGGAUAUCUCGGCUCUC
rnacentral:misc_RNA from 1 species